rnacentral:rRNA from 1 species
ACGGGAGGCAGCAGUGGGGGAUAUUGCACAAUGGGGGAAACCCUGAUGUAGCGACGCCGCGUGAGCGAAGAAGUAUUUCGGUAUGUAAAGCUCUAUCAGCAGGGAAGAAAAUGACGGUACCUGACUAAGAAGCUCCGGCUAAAUACGUGCCAGCAGCCGCGGUAAUACGUAUGGAGCAAGCGUUAUCCGGAUUUACUGGGUGUAAAGGGAGCGUAGACGGUUUGCCAAGUCUGAUGUGAAAGGUGGGGGCUCAACCCCCAAACUGCAUUGGAAACUGGUAGACUAGAGUGUCGGAGAGGUAAGUGGAAUUCCUAGUGUAGCGGUGAAAUGCGUAGAUAUUAGGAGGAACACCAGUGGCGAAGGCGGCUUACUGGACUGUAACUGACGUUGAGGCUCGAAAGCGUGGGGAGCAAACAGGAUUAGAUACCCUGGUA